rnacentral:tRNA from 1 species
GCGCCGGUGCCCGAGCGGCCCAAGGGAACGGCCUGCAAAGCCGUACAGUCGUCGGUUCAAAUCCGACCCGGCGCUCCA